rnacentral:rRNA from 1 species
UACGUAGGGGCUAGCGUUGUCCGGAAUCAUUGGGCGUAAAGCGCGUGUAGGCGGUCCGGUAAGUCCGCUGUGAAAGUCGAGGGCUCAACCCUCGAAUGCCGGUGGAUACUGUCGGGCUAGAGUGCGGAAGAGGCGAGUGGAAUCCUGGUGUAGCGGUGAAAUGCGCAGAUAUCAGGAGGAACACCUAUGCGAAGGCAGCUCUCUGGGACGGUACUGACGCUGAGACGCGAAAGCGUGGGAGCGAACAGG